rnacentral:tRNA from 1 species
CAUUAAAUGACUGAAUAAAAAGUGUUGAUCUUUUAAAUCAAAUUAUAACAGUACAUUUAAAUCUGUUUUUAAUUA